UACGUAGGGGGCAAGCGUUGUCCGGAUUUAUUGGGCGUAAAGAGCGUGUAGGCGGCUGGGUAGGUCCGUUGUGAAAACUCGAGCUCAACCUCGAGACGCCGAUGGAAACCCUCCAGCUAGAGUCCGGAAGAGGAGAGUGGAAUUCCUGGUGUAGCGGUGAAAUGCGCAGAUAUCAGGAAGAACACCCGUGGCUAAGGCGGCUCUCUAGUACGGUACUGACGCUGAAACGCGAAAGCGUGGGGGAGCGAACAGG
rnacentral:rRNA from 1 species